CAUUCCUGAUCAUUUCCUCUGACUGCGUUCAAACCGCUGAAGGCUUCAGUCUUCCUCGCUGUCACUUGCGGGGCUAUGAAAGCAGUGACGGCUAAACGCUCCGACCGACCGACCAGUGCGGCGCCACUUAUUACGCGCAGCCCGCGUGCCGGAACCGGGCGCGACUGGGUCUCCGCCUGGAUUUGGAUUUCAACUUCGCUUCGUGCUCAUGGCCAAAGUCAUUUACCGGUAAAAUGUUCCGAAACUCGGGCGCAGUCGCGAGCAGCGGCGGGGACGCAGGGCGCGAAAGGGAGUGAGAUGCGCCCCAAAGCGCUUCUGC